rnacentral:rRNA from 1 species
CCCUUAGAUGUCCGGGGCUGCACGCGCGCUACACUGAAGGAAUCAGCGUGCUAAAACCAUUGUCGAAAGGCAUUGGUAAACCCAUUAAAAUCCUACGUGAUUGGGAUCGGGAAUUGCAAUUAUUUCCCUUGAACGAGGAAUUCCCAGUAAGUGUGGGUCAUAAGCUCGCGUUGAUUACGUCCCUGCCCUUUGUACACACCGCCCGUCGCUGCCCGGGACUGAGCCGUUUCGAGAAAAGCGGGGACUGCUGCUGUCGGGGCUUUCGGGCCUUGGCUUCGGUGGAAACCGCUUUAAUCGCAUUGGCUUGAACCGGGCAAAAGUCGUAACA